GACAGAGGUGCCAAGCGUUAGGCGGAAUCACUGGGCUUAAAGCGUGUGUAGGCGGACUUGUAAGUACCUUGUGGAAAUCCCACGGCUCAACCCGUGGAACUGCUUGGUAUACUGCUUGUCUUGAGCCACUUAGGGGCUACCGGAACAAAUGGUGGAGCGGUGAAAUGCGUAGAUAUCAUUUGGAACGCCAAUGGUGAAAACAGGUAGCUGGGAGUGUGCUGACGCUGAGACACGAAGCCAGGGGAGCGAACGGG
rnacentral:rRNA from 1 species